rnacentral:snoRNA from 1 species
GCACAUGAUGACUCAGCGAUUCUUCACUUUGACCUGACUCACUGUGAUGAUGCAUUCAGACCUGAGC